GCCCCUAUAGCUCAGUUGGUAGAGCAACUGAUUUGUAAUCAGUAGGUCCUGGGUUCGAGUCCUAGUGGGGGCA
rnacentral:tRNA from 1 species